CGGACGUUGACGGGAACACAUCGGUUGAAGAAGACUCGAGCAGCUGGACGUUGAGAGGAAUGCACCGGCAUAACAGCACACCGACAGAAGUCGGCAGGCUGGCAGGCCAACGACCCACAGAACAACGUGGAGUUUGGCCGGGGCGGUCGAAGGACAGCCUGGCUGCUGAGCGGCCCGAUUCCAGGGGAAAACCAACUUCCCACUCCAUCUCCCUUCUGGCUCCCCCAUCUGCUGAGAGCUACUUCCACUAAAUAAAACCUUGCACUCACUCUCCAAGCCCACUUGUGAUCCGAUGCUUCCGGUACACCAAGGCAAGAACCCCGGGAUACAGAAAGCACUCUGUCCUUGUGAUAAGGCAGGAGUCUAAUUGAGCUGAUAAACACACGCCACCUGUGGGCAGCUGAACUAAAAGAGGACAAGGUGAUACACUCCCACUGGGGCCUCAGGAGCUGUAAACAUUCACUCCUAGACACUGCCCCACAACCUGCCCGUCUUUCUGCUUCCACUAGGGGUUUUGAGCAGUGGGGCGCUGAAGAAGUGAACCACACCCCCAUCACAUGCCCUGAGAUGGGGACAAGGGAACUUUUUCUGUUUCAGUAGUUGAAGAGCACACAGAAGGGAUCUACUUAGCAAGAUCAAGGAAGGUUUCCGCAAGGAAGUGCGGACCGAGCUAAGAUAUGACGAAGGAACAGGAAUUAAAUACAUAACAGAGUGUGAGGGAAGGAGGCAAGCAUAAGGGUCAGGCUUCCAAAAAGGCUCAAGAGACAAGGAAGCAUCGUGUAGAAAUUUGAUAUUUCCAUUAAGAUUUCUCAGCUUCUGGAAAACAAAUCUGAUAUUUGUGUCAGAUCUCCUCGCAGUCUCCCUACCUUUCAGGUUCCCUGUGAAGUACUGUGUAUCCAUAAACCUCCCACAAUCUGAUAUGUUUGGCAGAGAAAAUCAGGGAAAAGGCACGUUGAUUGUGCUGAAGGAAAAAAAACAAGCAAAAACAAAAUAUGGAUCUGCCAAUUACAUGCUGGAGUGAAAAUACAAUUCCUUCUCGCUUUCAGUUCAAGGAUAUGCUGGAGUAUCAUGCAUUCAGAUGGGGAAUUGCGACUAGGGAUUGUGAAUGCAGCCUUAGGACAUGGUUACACUCAGCUGUGUGGUGGUCCCAGUAUUUCAUGCUGUGGCACCUUGACUGGACAUAGUGGCAUUACAUGUAGGAGGCAAAUUCUCUCCAACAUGAGAAAAGAAAGCAGGAAACUGUGACUAAAUGAAGAUCACAGAGCCAGUUGAUCAGUGGGGAAGCUGCAUCUGAAAUCCAGGACUUCUAGAUCCUGGGUCAACUGGACAAAAACAACACCAACUUUCCCUCCCUAAGAGCUUCUUAUUGUUCAUUUUCGUUGCUAUUUGGAGAAAAAGCUCAUUAAAAUAUUAUGAAGCGCAUAGCAUAAUUACGUGCCAGCCUUUGCCAAUGAGGAACAUCUGUAGCACAGUAGGGGUCAUGCAUUCUGGAAAAAGAUGUAGAGUGGUACAGGCUGAAAGCGGAGCGGAGAGGACACUGUUUCAAGAUUCCUGCGCCAGCUCCUUCGUUGUUAUAGAAGUUGGACUAAAUAAAAGGAUUUUCAAAGAUGUUUGGAAAUGUGGCCCGUUAGCUAUAGCAGCCAUGAAGAUGUAGGACAAUUGAUUUGGCUGGGCACUUGUAGAAGGUGAAGAAAAAUGUUGAUGGAUUCAGAAAAAUGAGAUCCAUUAUGUUAGAGGAGACUCACCCACACCAAAGAGUCCUGGCCACACUGAGGUAGAGAAGAAGGCUAUGAGGCCCUCUGGACCAGAUGCACACUGCUGUGGAAUUGGAUGUAAACAACGACGGCUCUGCAAUGCAGUGCAACAAUGGGACUCAUGAUGUGUUAUGUCUAGCAGAAUGUGAGAAUAUUUCAGGCAGAGAUCUUAAGACUUGAGUCCUUCAUGCCAUUCCUCAAGCCAUGUACACACAAUGUGUGAAACCAACAGUGUCCACUUGGCGGGGAAUCACAUUCCAAAGUGUUACUCAAGUAUUGUCCAGAAAUAAAACUUAAAUCAUCUCUCCUGGCUGGCUGAGUGUAAGAUGUAUUCCUGGAGCUCUACCUAAAGGCAAAUUCCACAGCUGUCUUACCAUCUCCCAAGGGAAACAUAUUUCACAAGAGUUACACUAAGUAAUCACAAGCGUACAGAUAACAGGUAGGCAGGAAUGUGAAAAUCAGAGAGAAGAGAGAUGUGCACCAGAAGUUGGAGUAAUGUGCUUUGAAGAUGGAGGAAGGGACCAUAAAUCAAGGAAUGCAGACAGCCUGUAGAAGCUGGGAAAGGCAAGGAUGUGGAUUCACUCAAGAGUCUCUAGAAGAAAUGCAACCCCGCCAACACCUUGAUUUGAGGACUUCUGACCUUCAGAAUGAGAAAAUGAUACAUUUGUGUUAAACUCCAGUUUCGUUACGUGGCAACUUGCUCAGUCCCAGGAGGUGAUUCCUGAUUGUCAUAAGUAAAUCACAGAAAUUGUAGGAAGAAUUUUAAACAGAGCAAUCUUCCUCUUGUAAAAAUUAACCCAACUCAGAAAUAAAGGAACAAGUGAG
rnacentral:lncRNA from 1 species